rnacentral:rRNA from 1 species
GUCCGCCUACGGGGGGCAGCAGUGGGGAAUAUUGCACAAUGGGGGAAACCCUGAUGCAGCAACGCCGCGUGGGUGAAGGAGCGUUUCGGCGCGUAAAGCCCUGUCAGCGGGGAAGAAGAAAGACGGUUCCCGACCAAGAAGCCCCGGCUAACUACGUGCCAGCAGCCGCGGUAAUACGUAGGGGGCGAGCGUUAUCCGGAAUUACUGGGUGUAAAGGGAGCGUAGACGGCGAGGUAAGCCUGAAGUGGAAGCCCGCGGCCCAACCGCGGAACUGCUUUGGGAACUGUGUUGUUGGAGUAUGGAGG